rnacentral:rRNA from 1 species
CACCGCGGUGAUACGAAAGGCUCAAGCUGACAGCCCACGGCGUAAAGCGUGGUUAGGGUAAAUUAAAAAUUAAAGCCGAACACCCCUUAAGCCGUCAAAAGCUUAUAGAGGCAUGAAGCCCACUUACGAAAGUAGCUUUAUACUUCCUGAACCCACGAAAGCUAAGAAA